rnacentral:rRNA from 1 species
CUAUCAUUAACUGAAUCCAUAGGUUAAUGAGGCGAACCGGGGGAACUGAAACAUCUAAGUACCCCGAGGAAAAGAAAUCAACCGAGAUUCCCCCAGUAGCGGCGAGCGAACGGGGAGGAGCCCAGAGCCUGAAUCAGUGUGUGUGUUAGUGGAAGCGUCUGGAAAGGCGCGCGAUACAGGGUGACAGCCCCGUACACAAAAAUGCACAUAUUGUGAGCUCGAUGAGUAGGGCGGGACACGUGGUAUCCUGUCUGAAUAUGGGGGGACCAUCCUCCAAGGCUAAAUACUCCUGACUGACCGAUAGUGAACCAGUACCGUGAGGGAAAGGCGAAAAGAACCCCGGCGAGGGGAGUGAAAAAGAACCUGAAACCGUGUACGUACAAGCAGUGGGAGCCUCUUAAUGGGGUGACUGCGUACCUUUUGUAUAAUGGGUCAGCGACUUAUAUUCUGUAGCAAGGUUAACCGAAUAGGGGAGCCGAAGGGAAACCGAGUCUUAACUGGGCGUUAAGUUGCAGGGUAUAGACCCGAAACCCGGUGAUCUAGCCAUGGGCAGGUUGAAGGUUGGGUAACACUAACUGGAGGACCGAACCGACUAAUGUUGAAAAAUUAGCGGAUGACUUGUGGCUGGGGGUGAAAGGCCAAUCAAACCGGGAGAUAGCUGGUUCUCCCCGAAAGCUAUUUAGGUAGCGCCUCGUGAAUUCAUCUCCGGGGGUAGAGCACUGUUUCGGCAAGGGGGUCAUCCCGACUUACCAACCCGAUGCAAACUGCGAAUACCGGAGAAUGUUAUCACGGGAGACACACGGCGGGUGCUAACGUCCGUCGUGAAGAGGGAAACAACCCAGACCGCCAGCUAAGGUCCCAAAGUCAUGGUUAAGUGGGAAACGAUGUGGGAAGGCCCAGACAGCCAGGAUGUUGGCUUAGAAGCAGCCAUCAUUUAAAGAAAGCGUAAUAGCUCACUGGUCGAGUCGGCCUGCGCGGAAGAUGUAACGGGGCUAAACCAUG